GUCUGGGGGGUUUGCUUACAAACAAUGGGCUGCUGCAGGGGAGGCUACACUUGGGGCUGGGGGUUAGGGGUUUAGUAGUUGAAGAAGCAGCACACAGAGGUAUCUCAACUAACUUGUGAUUUUCUCAGGAGCAGAGAGGAGCAAACAAGAAAAUGGAGACACAUAGAAAUGCCUGGAUGGGUUAAGAGGAAUCACAUAGUACCUCCAAAAAGAGCAGAGAGGAGCAAACAAGAAAAUGGAGACACAUAGAAAUGCCUGGAUGGGUUAAGAGGAAUCACAUAGUACCUCCAAAAAGAGCAGAGAGGAGCAAACAAGAAAAUGGAGACACAUAGAAAUGCCUGGAUGGGUUAAGAGGAAUCACAUAGUACCUCCAAAAAGAGCAGAGAGGAGCAAACAAGAAAAUGGAGACACAUAGAAAUGCCUGGAUGGGUUAAGAGGAAUCACAUAGUACCUCCAAAAAGAGCAGAGAGGAGCAAACAAGAAAAUGGAGACACAUAGAAAUGCCUGGAUGGGUUAAGAGGAAUCACAUAGUACCUCCAAAAACGUGACGCUCUCACUGCAUCUGCUUCAAUUCAAAUCAAUCGGGCAUGCACAGUAAGCACCUCUUUGAGGUCAUCAUAGUCUGAGAGAGAAGGAGGGCUCAGAAAGAAAAAAGGGAUGGAGUUUCAUGCUAGAUAAGGAGUUGAGGAAAUGGAAGGCAUUCUCUCUGUUGCAGGCAGCAGUGCAGGCGUGGGGGUUGGUAGGCCCUGGAACUGUGUUGGGCAACCACUGGGAAUCAACAUGGCCCUGAUUCUGGCACUGGUUCUUGCUUCCUUGUCAAAAAGUGCCUACAGGAGAAGCAAUACAUGUCUACUUUGAUAACUGAGGUGGGCCUGCCCACUUGCAAUGGUGCAAUGGGUGGUUUCCCGUUAAAUAUGAAUUAGGGGGUCCACAUAUUGUCUUAAUGGUGUGAUUUUUGUUAAAAUUUUAAUAAAACAAGACCUGCACUUUUUUCCAAAAUGAA